UAAGACGAAGGGGGCUAGCGUUGUUCGGAAUUACUGGGCGUAAAGCGUGUGUAGGUGGUUGUCAUAGUCAGGUGUGAAAGCCUUGAGCUCAACUCAAGAAAUGCACUUGAUACUGGGCAGCUAGAGGACCGGAGAGGAUAGUGGAAUUCCCAGUGUAGUGGUGAAAUACGUAGAGAUUGGGAAGAACACCAGUGGCGAAGGCGGCUAUCUGGACGGUUUCUGACACUAAGA
rnacentral:rRNA from 1 species